rnacentral:rRNA from 1 species
UACGAAGGGGGCUAGCGUUGCUCGGAAUUACUGGGCGUAAAGCGCACGUAGGCGGAUCCUUAAGUCGGUGGUGAAAUCCUGAAGCUCAACUUCAGAACUGCCUUCGAUACUGGGGACCUUGAGUUCGGGAGAGGUGAGUGGAACCGCGAGUGUAGAGGUGAAAUUCGUAGAUAUUCGCAAGAACACCAGUGGCGAAGGGCGGGCCUCACUGGCCCGGUACUGACGGCUGAG